UGAGGAAUAUUGGGCAAUGCCCGCAAGGGUGACCCAGCAACGCCGCGUGGAGGAUGAAUGUCGUAAGGUUGUAAACUCCUGUUAGAGGGGAAGAAUAGGACCGGUUGGACCGGUAUAUGACUGUACCCUCAGAGAAAGCCCCGGCUAACUACGUGCCAGCAGCCGCGGUAAUCUGUAGGGGGCAAGCGUUGCCCGGAUUUACUGGGUGUAAAGGGCGCGCAGGCGGGAUAAAAAGUCAGUGGUGAAAUCCUACAGCUUAACUGUAGAACUGCCUUUGAUACUUUUAUUCUUGAGUUCGGGAGAGAGAGACGGAAUUCCAGGUGUAGUGGUGAAAUACGUAGAUAUCUGGAAGAACACCAGUUGCGAAGGCGGUCUCUUGGUCCGACACUGACGCUGAGGCGCGAAAGCGUGGGGAGCAAACA
rnacentral:rRNA from 1 species